rnacentral:rRNA from 1 species
AUGAACGCUAGCUACAGGCUUAACACAUGCAAGUCGAGGGGAAACGGCAUUGAGUGCUUGCACUCUUUGGACGUCGACCGGCGCACGGGUGAGUAACGCGUAUCCAACCUUCCCAUUACUGUGGGAUAACCUGCCGAAAGGCAGACUAAUACCGCAUAGUCUUCGAUGACGGCAUCAGAUUUGAAGUAAAGAUUUAUCGGUAAUGGAUGGGGAUGCGUCUGAUUAGCUUGUUGGCGGGGUAACGGCCCACCAAGGCGACGAUCAGUAGGGGUUCUGAGAGGAAGGUCCCCCACAUUGGAACUGAGACACGGUCCAAACUCCUACGGGAGGCAGCAGUGAGGAAUAUUGGUCAAUGGACGGAAGUCUGAACCAGCCAAGUAGCGUGCAGGAUGACGGCCCUAUGUGUUGUAAACUGCUUUUGUAUGGGGAUAAAGUUAGGGACGUGUCCCUAUUUGCAGGUACCAUACGAAUAAGGACCGGCUAAUUCCGUG